UACGGGGGAGCAAGCGUUUGUUCGGAUUUACUGGGCGUAAAGGGCGCGUAGGCGGUCAGCACAAGUCAGUUGUGAAAUCUCCGGGCUUAACUCGGAAAGGUCAACUGAUACUGUGCGACUAGAGUGCAGAAGGGGCAACUGGAAUUCUCGGUGUAGCGGUGAAAUGCGUAGAUAAUCGAGAGGAACACCUGCGGCGAAGGCGGGUUGCUGGGCUGACGUCACUGAUGCGCGAAAGCCAGGGGAGCG
rnacentral:rRNA from 1 species